CCCUAUUGUAGCACCACUUCGACGCUUUUACCACCAGGGGGUGUUGUUCGACCGUAUUAGGAGCAACAGCUGGAACAUGAAGUUCAACAGUCGAGGCGACUGCGGCGGCAACAGCACACCAACUCGCACCCAACACUCACUUGGGGUUAUACGCUGUGAAGCGUUGCACACGAAACAUAGAACAGUGAAUUGAGGAGGAAAUACCUCGGAAAGGCGUUUCGAGUUUGGAUGCAAAGGUCUCAUACAAGUACCGCUGCAGAGAAUGGCACGGACAGUCUUUAAACUUUGAAGGUAGGUCAUGAUGACGUUUUUCUUUAUUGUUGUUGUGGGUAGUCGUGUUUAACCAGAUGUUUUUGUAGGGAGUUUAUUGUCCUUUAAUCUAGUGUAGUGUUUAAGUCCUCUACACUGUUAACAAUCCACACACACACACACACACACACACACACACACACACACACACACACACACACACACACACACACACACACACACACACACACACACACACACACACACACACACACACACACUUUGCAUGGUUAUAGAUGUAAGAUCUCUACAUCAUUUCGAUUUGCGCAUAUAUUUGCAAUGCAUAUGCACUUUUGCCUCCGGGCUUUUAACAAGCAUAGCCUAGGCUACAUUUUUUUCUGUAUAUCUAUAAUACAUGCCACUUCUAUAGAAUAAACUUGCCAUUAUCUGUUUCUUGCGUAACGACUCGCAUUGUCUGCAGGCUACUUUAUUAUAAGCCUACUGUAAAGAAUUAUGCCACUGUCAGCUUGACCACGGUGUCUUAUUUGAUAAUUCUGCCAUAAUUCAGACUACAUUUUUUUGCUUACAAUGGUUUAUUUUGUCUGGUCUACCACGGCUGCAGAAGAUGAAUGCAUGAUGCUGAACAUUGUGUUUGUUUGCGCACAUUGGCCAUGUGCGCAACGUCUAGUCCUCGGCAACUCAUCAUGAAAGAGCAUGACAUGGGGGGCCUUUCAACGCCUCAAACAGUAGUUAUCUUUUCAGCGGGGAGUAAUCCUAGUGAAAGGAUUACUUCCUCCCUUUAUUGAGAAAGGAUAUUUGGAAACUAACUGAGUAAUGUAAAACUCAACCGUGACCAACUCUGUUUUCGAUGGCCUUGUAAAACCUGGCAGCGUGGUGCGCACGCAUCUCCGAGGCUGAACCGGAAUGCGGCCACGAAUACUUUCCAAGUAAAUAGUGCUGGGGCGCUAAUGACUUUGUUAUGAUCCCAUAACGCCAUUGUCCCCUCAAACGUCAGGGGUUACGGUCCACGUCCGGGUCACUUUGCAGCUUUCUGUCCACUUCGACGUGGGAAAAUCCUGUUGACGAAGCAGAAAUAGACUGUUGAAGUUUAACAUGGACUUUUAACUUCUUUAAUGAGCUGCUUUUGGUGGUUGUCUGCCUACGCAGCCUCCCUCCACCUGGCACCUUCACCAUGCUGUUAGCUCUGCAGACCAAGAACCGUUGUAAUACACUCAACCAAGACACAGUGGGGAACAACGAGUGGGAGAACAGUAAUUCAAUAUUGGGUCUGAGUAUAUAACUCUAGUAUUUGUGAUAUCAAUGAUGUAACGGUCUACGAUGUUUGCCAUGAGAAUCCACAACAAUGUAGGCGGUCACUUUUUUAUUCAGCCGAAUAUCUGAAAACUAGUUACAGCCUUACAGCAACUUAAAUGAUGUUAAUGACAGUGUUUGACUCCCUGACGAGAGGUUCUGGGUUAGACUCCCCAAUAUCCACAGCCUGUCCUGUGCAGGCAUCCAUGAGCAAGUCGCCCUAACUGCUACCUGCUCCGGCAUGAUGACAUGCAGCUGAAUGUAUACCGUCAAGUCCCUUUAAAUGAAAGGACCCUCUGGACCGUAGCCACAUAAAGCCAUUCUGUAUUUGUAUUGCAUUCGCUGCCUUCGCAACCCCACACAAACACCAUCGCUCCGCUGGCUGAUUCGUGCCUCUACUUUGCUUCCCCCUUCUCUGCACUCGAUGUAAGCCGAUGUCCAGAGGCUAGGCUAUUUAUACAGCAACCCUCACACACGAGGACCAUCCACAGUGCUUGACGUGGACAUCGAUUGCAUUUAAAUGAAAGACAGAAAGGACAGACAUUGAAAGACAAUCAUUUGAAAGAGACUUGAAAUACAUGGGAAACAUAAAUGUUAGGAGGUACAAUAAUGAAUAAUACCAAUGCAGACAUCUUUUGAGGUUGUUGCGAUCUGAAGCGAUUUACAACAACCAUCCAAAAAAACAACCCCUAGCUGGCUGCUCAUCAUCAUUGAGCCAGAUUCACGAUUGGAUGCAGGGAGGACCAAUCCGCUGGUCCGAGCGGUCGGUAAUGAAAUGGGCCCGUCCCUGUUUUAAAUAAACCGCUUCUGGUGUGUGUGGCCCACCUCCUCUGUGUGCGGUUUGCCUCAUCUCCGACUCCGUCUGGACCAG
ensembl:lncRNA